rnacentral:rRNA from 1 species
UACGUAGGGGGCAAGGCGUUGUCCGGAUUUAUUGGGCGUAAAGAGCGUGUAGGCGGCUUGGUAGGUCCGCUGUGAAAACUCGAGGCUCAACCUCGAGAUGUCGGCGGAAACCACUUGGCUAGAGUCCGGAAGAGGAGAGUGGAAUUCCCGGUGUAGCGGUGAAAUGCGCAGAUAUCGGGAAGAACACCUAUGGCGAAGGCAGCUCUCUGGGACGGUACUGACGCUGAGACGCGAAAGCGUGGGGGAGCGAACAGG